rnacentral:ncRNA from 2 species
UGCCGGAGACUUUUUAUAAGCUUUGGAAAUGCUGCUAGAGGGAACCAGGGUAAGAGCCUGGACGGUUGCGGCCACUGUAAGCAGGAAGGUGUACUUCAAAAUGCCAUUGCAUACCUAUAUGCGAGAAGGCGGGGAACACCAUUAUAACCUGUAAGUCAGGAAACCUGCUUGGCAAAGUAAGAAGGA